CCAGACUCCUACGGGAGGCAGCAGUGGGGAAUAUUGCACAAUGGGGGGAACCCUGAUGCAGCAAUGCCGCGUGAAGGAAGAAGGCUUUCGGGUUGUAAACUUCUUUUCUCAGGGACGAAGCAAGUGACGGUACCUGAGGAAUAAGCCACGGCUAACUACGUGCCAGCAGCCGCGGUAAUACGUAGGUGGCAAGCGUUAUCCGGAUUUACUGGGUGUAAAGGGCGUGUAGGCGGGACUGCAAGUCAGAUGUGAAAACCACGGGCUCAACCUGUGGCCUGCAUUUGAAACUGUAGUUCUUGAGUACUGGAGAGGCAGACGGAAUUCCUAGUGUAGCGGUGAAAUGCGUAGAUAUUAGGAGGAACACCAGUGGCGAAGGCGGUCUGCUGGACAGCAACUGACGCUGAGGCUCGAAAGCGUGGGGAGCAAACAGGAUUAGAUACCCCGGUA
rnacentral:rRNA from 1 species